UACGUAGGGUGCAAGCGUUGUCCGGAAUUAUUGGGCGUAAAGAGCUUGUAGGCGGUUUGUCGCGUCUGCUGUGAAAUUUCGGGGCUCAACCCCGAACUUGCAGUGGGUACGGGCAGACUAGAGUGUGGUAGGGGAGACUGGAAUUCCUGGUGUAGCGGUGAAAUGCGCAGAUAUCGGGAGGAACACCGGUGGCGAAGGCGGCGUCUGGACCGAGACUGACGCUGAGGCGCGAAAGCGUGGGGAGCAAACAGG
rnacentral:rRNA from 1 species